rnacentral:rRNA from 1 species
CAUGCAAGUCGAACGGAAAGGCCCUUCGGGGUACUCGAGUGGCGAACGGGUGAGUAACACGUGGGUGAUCUGCCCUGCACUUUGGGAUAAGCCUGGGAAACUGGGUCUAAUACCGAAUACACCCUGCUGGUCGCAUGGCCUGGUGGGGGAAAGCUUUUGCGGUGUGGGAUGGGCCCGCGGCCUAUCAGCUUGUUGGUGGGGUGAUGGCCUACCAAGGCGACGACGGGUAGCCGGCCUGAGAGGGUGACCGGCCACACUGGGACUGAGAUACGGCCCAGACUCCUACGGGAGGCAGCAGUGGGGAAUAUUGCACAAUGGGCGCAAGCCUGAUGCAGCGACGCCGCGUGGGGGAUGACGGCCUUCGGGUUGUAAACCCCUUUCGCCAGGGACGAAGAGAGAUUGACGGUACCUGGAGAAGAAGGACCGGCCAACUACGUGCCAGCAGCCGCGGUAAUACGUAGGGUCCGAGCGUUGUCCGGAAUUACUGGGCGUAAAGAGCUCGUAGGUGGUUUGUCGCGUUGUUCCUGAAAACUCACA